UACGUAGGGUGCAGGCGUUUAAUCGGAAUUACUGGGCGUAAAGCGUGCGCAGGCGGUUUGCUAAGACAGGUGUGAAAUCCCCGGGCUUAACCUGGGAACUGCGCUUGUAACUGGCAAGCUAGAGUGUGGCAGAGGGGGGGUGGAAUUCCACGUGUAGCAGUGAAAUGCGUAGAUAUGUGGAGGAACACCGAUGGCGAAGGCAGCCCCUGGGUCAAGCACUGACGCUCAUGCACGAAAGCGUGGGGAGCAAAUAGG
rnacentral:rRNA from 1 species